GCCAGUGUGGUGUAGUGGUUUGAGCAUUGGACUACAACUCUGGAGACCAGGGUUCAAAACCUCUCUCAGGCA